UACGAAGGGGGGCUAGCGUUGCUCGGAAUCACUGGGCGUAAAGGGUGCGUAGGCGGGUCUUUAAGUCAGAGGUGAAAUCCUGGAGCUCAACUCCAGAACUGCCUUUGAUACUGAGGAUCUUGAGUUCGGGAGAGGUGAGUGGAACUGCGAGUGUAGAGGUGAAAUUCGUAGAUAUUCGCAAGAACACCAGUGGCGAAGGCGGCAUCCUGGACCGGCAUUGACGCUGAGGAGCGAAAGCUAGGGGAGCAAACAAGG
rnacentral:rRNA from 1 species